ensembl:miRNA mir1-1 microRNA mir-1-1
GACAGCGGCCUGCUUGGGGGACAUACUUCUUUAUAUGCCCAUAUGAACACGAGCAACUAUGGAAUGUAAAGAAGUAUGUAUCCCAGGUUGGGAGAAAUGAC